GUGCUCACUUUGGCAACACAUAUACUAAAAUUAGAAUGAUACAUAGAAGAUUAGCAUGGCCCCUGUAUAAAUAUGUCACACAAAUUCAUGAAGUGUUCCAUAUUUUA